UUUCCUCCCCAACUAGGGUUGCCGCCACCGCCCCAUCGCUCCUGGCGCUGCCCACCGGAGUGGGAUGACCGUGGGAGGAGCAGCCACGCAAGGUGGAGCCCUCGUCACGAUGAAGCGGCGGGAAGAGGAGCCCCAUCGGGACGAGUUUUUCCCCGUCGCCCAGGACGGUCCUUCUUCCUUGAAGACGCCCAGGGCUGACGGAUGUUGCUUGUCGUCAGCCUAGGGCCUGGUCGGCCGGAGCAGUCGGAGAGGAGUGGGAGGCUCGCCGUCGCCAUCGUCGGCAGGAGCGCCAGACCCAUCUUCCUUGCAUCAGCCGGGCUGUUCGCGCGGCGGGGGUGGAGGUCGUGCGAGGCGGUUGUUCGCCGAUCUGUUCAUGCAAGCCCUUGGUUGCCUGCGGUGCCUUAUUGGCGACGUCUUCUCUGGUGCUACCGGCAAGCAAUCGCUGCCAAGCCUCUAGCGCUCCGUGGCAGCCAUCCCUACAUCUCACUGCUUAAUGCAUGCUAUCAGACACGCGGGAUGGAGUUGAAACUGUUCGUCUUUGCGUAGCAGCAUCAGAAUUACAAUUUAAAUGUAUUUCAGGUCACAAAAUGCUUUGGAUAGCGUAUGUACUUCCGUCAGUUGCAUUCCGUGUCUUUUGUCUCGUCUAUUUUAUUUGGAUUAGGAGAUGGAAAAUUAUGGUAACCAUUCUCGGUGUCGUCGCUAUCAUCCUCACAUCAAGAUGUCUCCAACAAUGCCGCCAUACAUGUCCCUCACGUUGUCAUUGUCAUCCUCGUGUUGAUAGGCAGCUCGAAUGCUUGGUUAGAGGAUCCCAGGUGCAAGGCAAAGCGCCACCUCUCUCUCACUGUGCAUCGUCUCUAGACGCACCACCGUCGACAUCAGCUACCGCCAAUACAUAUGAUCCAUGUAUCAUCUUUAGUAUCUCUCAUGCUCAGGAGAGGCAGAGGUCACUCAGCUAGCUCGUGCAGUACCAAGGGCGAUGGAGAUAUGCAAGCACAUUAGCUGAUGAGAGGAUGUACUAAAUGUUAUGCAGAAACCAAAUCAAUAACUUUUCUUGCUCAUCCCUAUACCAUGUUCUCAGUCCUGUAUCUUCUGAUCAGUUAAGUCCUUUUGGCUUGUGAUCUUUUCUCCAUUCAGUCAGUCUCAAAUCUCAUCUUGGCAUAUACAUAAGAAAGAAGAAGCCAAGAGCAUGUGAAAUGUAUAUGUACAUGUCUGCCACAUAAUUCUAGCUUUUAUUUGCUCCGUGAAAAUAGUCGCACGGGAGGCGUAAUGAGGCGUUUAAGCAAGACAAGUGCGCCAAAAACACGCACUCAGGACUCAGGAGGCCCGCCAUUGGCGGGCCCCAGCCACUAGUGCUCUAUAGACAAGGA